GAUGAACGCUGGCGGCGUGCCUAAUACAUGCAAGUCGAGCGAACGGACGAGAAGCUUGCUUCUCUAAUGUUAGCGGCGGACGGGUGAGUAACACGUGGAUAACCUACCUAUAAGACUGGGAUAACUUCGGGAAACCGUAGCUAAUACCGGAUAAUAUUUUGAACCGCAUGGUUCAAAAGUGAAAGACGGUCUUGCUGUCACUUAUAGAUGGAUCCGCGCUGCAUUAGCUAGUUGGUAAGGUAACGGCUUACCAAGGCAACGAUGCAUAGCCGACCUGAGAGGGUGAUCGGCCACACUGGAACUGAGACACGGUCCAGACUCCUACGGGAGGCAGCAGUAGGGAAUCUUCCGCAAUGGGCGAAAGCCUGACGGAGCAACGCCGCGUGAGUGAUGAAGGUCUUCGGAUCGUAAAACUCUGUUAUUAGGGAAGAACAGAUGUGUAAGUAACUGUGCACAUCUUGACGGUACCUAAUCAGAAAGCCACGGCUAACUACGUG
rnacentral:rRNA from 1 species